rfam:Musa acuminata subsp. malaccensis Doubled-haploid Pahang (DH-Pahang) genomic chromosome, chr3
UGGCUGAUGAUGAGUGGUCUUAAUCCUCUUAGCGGAUUUCAGUGAGACUCUGGUCUUUGAUCUGAUUCUUGUUGUUACACACACUGAAGCCU